UUCUUUCCUGUCCUCUAGUCA
ensembl:piRNA 21ur-14300 ncRNA